UCCAAUGUGAUUGGUCUCUUUUUCAUUUCUCAGACUUUCCUCUUUUCCAUUUCCGAGACUUCCUCUCUCUCUCUCUCUCUCUCUCCCUCAUCCAUCUUCACUCAUCUCCAUCCCCAGAAUUAUCUGCUCCGUCUUUCUCUUCACUCACCAUUGUUCACCAUCUGAAUCAUUUCCAUUCUUUGCCUUUCUCGUGUUUUUUUAUACAAGUGAAGCCUCUGAAAUAAUCGGAAGUGAAAGCUCUCUGCAUCGGCCAUUGAAAUCCAUGUCAAAGAAAGCAAUGUGCAAAGGGUCGACGCUCUUACCACUAUAAGAGAGGAACUAGAAAAUCAACUUGAUGACGAUGAUGACAUGGAAGAACUACAUUGUUUGUUUCUUAUGCAGAAUGUAUAAAGCUGUUUACAAAUGUAUUCAAAGCAGAUUCAACCGUCCAUCCAGAAACGAUUGUCAUAGGACUCUGCUCACCUACUAAUUCACACUGCUCUUUCCGCAGUGCAGGGCAAUUGUAUUGGCAUGUGUGGUAUUUGGUUGCAAGGAAACCGUUUUGGUUGCAAGAAAACCGUUUUGUGUAGUGCAGGGCAAUUGCUGAUAUACUCCAUCUUAAGUUUUCAUUUUAUUAAAUAUUGUCAUGAAGACUUAACUGGAUUAAAUAACAAAAUUAUGGUGUUAUUACAUGCUAGAAAGUUACAUUAUAUGAAUAACAUUUACAGUACACACUGCAGGGUUGUAUUAUAUUCAAAGAUAAAAUAAAUAAAAUAUAAACUGGGUUGUAUUA